UUGAACCGGUUAAAAUAUUUAGGAAAAUGUCCGGUUCGGUUCGGUUUCCGGUUUUGGUGUGCCUGAACCGGCCAACCCGAACCGAACCGGUUCGGGUUAGGAAUGAAAAAAAAAAUAUAUAAACCAAGCGGGCCGCCUCCUCCCUUUACUUUCCCUUUCAAUAACCCUAGCAGACCAUUUUUUGCUUUCCCUUUCAUACAGCCGCCCCCUCCUCUUCAACCCUUUCAAUCUUCAUUCACAGUUCACCCUUCACACUUCACAGACACAGCCACCCCCUCCAAUCACCCCUACUCCCAUUAACAGCCGCCUCCUCUUCACCAGUAACCGAGCUUAGGCUAUUCUCGGACGACCAUUCUUCGAAUCUCGAAAGAAACCGUCGUGCGUGUGAGGUGGCGAAACUGUUACCACUUCCAGAUCUUCUUCAAUCUAUUGCUUCUAUCAAAGCCGAUUACAUCGCUCAGGUGGACGAAAGAACACAAUUUGCAAAGGAAAUUGGAAUCGUUGUCCCUGUCUCAGAUUCUCAGAAGACAAUCAAGCGCAAACACGAUGGAUUCUUUUUUGCUGUCAAAGAGGUUUCACUGCUUGAUCAGGGAAGUCAGGGAAAACAAAGUAUUUAUCAACUUGAGCAGGAGAUUGCUCUUUUAAGUCGGUUUGAACAUGAAAACAUAGUUCAAUAUUAUGGCACAGAUAAUGUACUGCUUUCUUGCUUUCUGUUGGGUUCUAGAUUUGAUUGUUUGAUCUACAUCAAUUCUGAAUGGAACUGAUGGAACCCAAGAUAUAAUUCUGUUUCUUGGUUAUUGUUGCUAGAGUAGGUGCAACUAGUUCUUUCCUCUGCAAGUUGGGUUUGGUAAGAUUGAUUAUAAAGAAAAAGGUAUUGGUAAUGCACAAUUUUGAUUUUAGUGCUGAUGUUAAGUGUGGCUUGAUUUAUGAUAGAUAAUUAUGUUGACAAUAUUGGGCUUCAUGAAUGAUGAUGCCAGUUUAUUUCUGGUCUUAGUAAGCUAUACUACUGCUGGAUUUGUGCUCUUUAUUUAUAUAGCAAAUUCUUAUUCAAAUCUUUGAUAUUUAUCGGUAAUGAAACUUCAAUCUUGCCUCAGGUUGUCGACCAAGUCAAAAUUCCUCCUACAAGUAUACAAUAUUGUUUUAUUAUAAUGUUAUUUGUUGUUUUUUCUUUAAGCCCUUUGAAGGCAUUGGUUUGUAAUUUGGAUUAAUUUGGAUUUUAACUUAUUGAUGUGUGACUAUGUGUUAUUUAAA